CUGUCCGAGGGGCGCUGCAGUGCAUGACGAAAUUCAUGCGCGAGGCUCGGGCAGGGUGUCGCAAACGCAACGGCGCCCAUUCCCC
rnacentral:ncRNA from 2 species